rnacentral:lncRNA from 1 species
GAGGAAAAGGCUUCACCAUAGCAAACAGCGUUCAUGUGCCAUCCGUCAGAUGGGGAACUGUUCAGUGUUUCAGCUGCAAUGAAACAGAUGAGAACCCCUCGCUUCCGCAGCUGAAUGCUUCCAAGCAUGUACAACAUCAUCACCAAAAAAUGAUCAUGUAUCUUCAUCAAAGAGAGGUGUUUGUUGUCUGAUUUUUAUUCCAAUGUGGUGAAAAAUUGGUCAGUUUUAAGUAGAUUCCUAUCAAAGCUGUGCUCCAAAUCCCUGUGACCCACUUCAGAAUUUGCCUGCAGCUAUGAUGGAUGAUUCUCUGCAUUGAUCUCUUCACCAUUCUGCCCGAGGUCUUUUUCUGGGUUCAGAGGAGUAUGUUAGUGACACAGAAUUCAACCCUCAGCAAGACAACCCUCAACUGAGAAGGGGAAGGAGCCAGAGUACACACCCUAGCUUCUCCAACUUCAGUAGGGCAAUUCUAAAGGAAUGUUUUUCAUGGUCCUUUGGAGGGUUCCUAGCGGGACUGAGCCCUGGCUACCCAUGGCAACAACCAGCUCAUUAACGCAGUUCCCUGUCUGGCUUUCUUGCAUACUUGUGUCUCUGGAAACCAUCAGUCCAAGAAAUUGCCUACAUCUACAUCUUUGUUUCACGGGCUCCCUUUGGGAAACUCAGAGUGAAGAGCCUCACCAGACAAGAGGUGGUCGAGUAAUAGUGGGGAGUCCUGACUUGCCUGGUCUUUUCGCUGAUGGUAGAGAGCAGGAACUCACACAUGUCCAGGAACUUUCUACAAAUGUCACCUCUCACCCCUUCCACUGAAACCCUAGAAGGUGAAGUUCCCAAUAAGCCAUGGUCUCUUUCCCGAGCCACCACCCUAGGUAGCAAAAUUAGACAUCUGUCACAGCCAAUUCCCCAUGCUCCCCACUCCCCUACCAAAGGAACAAUUCAACUUUGGGUGGUUUGUUUUUGUUUUUGUUUUUAAUAUUGGAAAAUAGAUAUAAGAGAGAUUGUGUUCUCCAGUUCCCUAGUCAGCAAACCCAAGCCCUGGUUGUGAAUAGUUGUGUUGGGGGGAGGUGUGACACUUCACUCUGCCUUUCAGUCCCAGAUAAGAGAGAAUGGCUUCUGAUAUGCCUGUGACAAUCCAGGGGAAGAGGGGGAUGGAAGUGGUCCCAGAGCUGUUUGAGAUGAUCUUUUUAGCUGUCUCAUUAAAGACCCUUUGUUCUUGUGUGUGUGUGUGUGUGUGUGUGUGUGUGUGUGUUUAGUACUAUUCAAUUCAACACUUUUCCAAUUAUUAAAAGGGAGUUUUGUUGAAAAAAAUAGGUCAUGACUCACAGCAUAAAUCCAUGCUCAAAACAGCUAGUAAACAAAUGGACAGAAUACUCAUAUCCAUUUGGGCUGACUGUAUCUUAAAAUGUCUGCUUAGUUAUUUAGUCAGGAUUGACAUGUCAGGGGUGCCUGGGUGGCUCAAUCCAUUAAGUAUCUGCCUCUGGAACUCAGCUCAGGUCUUGAUCUCAGGAUCAUGAGUUCAGGCCCCACAUUGGACUCCACCCCGGGUGUGGAGCCUACUUAAAAAAAAAAAAAAAAAAAAAAAAAAGAAUAAAGAUUGACAUGUCAUAUGCCAGCCUCUUAUCCAAGGUCCACAUUCUGAGACAUGUGCUAUUUUUGAACCCAAGGUAGAGGCCCUGAGGGAGCACACAUUGUCUGUGGGGCAUUGAGAUUUACAACUGUAAGGUUUCCAUACCCCACUUGCUUUGUCUCAGGCAAAUGCCCUCUCUAGCUUCACCAGUCCCCAGUGUGGGGUGCAGAGCUUAUCAUCAGUCUUGAUGCUGAACUUCAAGGGAUUCUUGAGCCCUGGUUCUCAAACUUAGUUACAUGCUGUAAUCACCAGGGACAUUUUAAGAAGUAAUAGAGCCUACAUCUCUCCUCAAGAUAAUCUGACUAAAUUGGUCUGGGAGCAGUCUAGAUAUUUGGAUUUUUUUGAAACUUCGCAGUUGACUAUAGUAUACAGCCAUGACAGGGCACCUGGGUGGCUCAAUGGGUUAACUAUCUGCCUUUGGCUCAGGUCAUGAUUCUAGGGUCCUGGGAUGGAGUCCUGUGUUGUCAGGCUCCCUGCUCAGCAAGGAGUCUGCUUCUCCCUCUCCCUCUCCCCUUCCCCCAGCUUGUGCUCUCUCUCUUUCUAAUAAAUUUUAAAAUCUUAAAAAAAAAAAAAAUGCAGCCAAGUCUGAGAACCACUGUCCCAGAAGGCAUCUUGUGGGACCAGAUUGUAUGCAGGGGGUCACAUUGGCUUCUCAGAGGUACAUCUCUCCCAAUCUAAUGAUAAUCCCUUAUUCAGAGAGACUACAGAAGUAAUGAAAGAAGCAGCUUCUCAUUACCAUGCUGUUUAUACAGAGACAGACAGACAGCCUGCCUGUCAUGGAACAGAACAGCAGCGGCU